AGAGAAGGCGCGGGCCUCUGAGCUUCCCAGAAAGCGGUAGACACGCCGGCUGGCGCAGGGAGCUCCAGGGCUGCAGCUUCGCCAGGCCUCAAGCACAGAGCCUUCGAAGUCCGCCAACGACAGCCAGCUGUGGUUAUUUAUGUGACGGCGGGUCAGCCGGCUGUGGUUCCUCAGCCCCCAUCCUGGCGCGCCUCCAUCUGCCCGCAGCAGCUGCCGCGACUCGCGCGUGGGUGUGUUGUUUGGGUUGUCUGUCUGGGAACCGCGGGUGUCACCUUCUGGAUCGCUGCCGACUGUGUCCUCGGUCGCGGUUAAAGAAAUUAACUUUGACUGACCCAAAGGAUGCUACUACAAAAGAACUUAAAGUUUUUCUGUUCUCGGCGGACACAACAUCUUUCUUUGUAUGUGGUGCUGAGGAUCGAACCCGGGCCGCACGCAUGCCAGGCGACCGUGCUACCACUUGAGCCACAUCCCCAGCCCAAGUAAUAGAAAUCUUUGAUUUCAUGCAUAGAAACCAAAUUACGUAACAGAGAGACUACAAUUAGAUUCUUUAGAAUAAGACAAUGAAAGAGAGAUUGAAAAGGUAAGAGAGAUAUUGUAUUGUAGGUAUGUUUAAAACAUGGGAAAUUUUAUUUUAGUUUGUACUAAUUUGUGUAGAAUUUUUCCUGUGACAUUUCAGUUUUGUCCAUUGAGCUUAGUUUAGACAUCAUUGUAGUGGUUGGUUUAAAAUUACAGGUAAGAUUUGGGAAUCAUCUGAAGACUUUCAGUACGUGUUUUUUUUUAUCAAAUAUAUUUGAAGUCUAAACAGCUUUUCUUUUUCUUGGGCUCAUUUGGUUGUUUAGAAUUGGGAAUACAUUUUUCCUAUAGAAAAAGAAAAUUCUGAAUUUUGAUUAAUUUGUGAUAAUUGUUAAAAACUGUAUUAUAAUAUUAAAUAUUAAGUGUUAGCAUUUAAAAUGGAAAAUUAUUUUAGCUUUUUAAAAUGAUUGUGAUACUAGCUAACCUAGUUCAUGAGACUCUUCUCAGUCAGCCAGAUGCUGUUUCUCCUUUAAAUUUUCAAUUUCUUUAAAGAAGUUCUUCAUCACCUACUUCUAGAAUGUUAUUCCUCUUGUCUUCCUUGGGAUGAUUUUAGAAUUUGAGGCAGAGAUUUGGGUUUGGGAGUGGGCUCUGCAACAAUGAGUCAUAAUUUCAUGUGAUAGUUGAUGAGAAAGACAGGAGAAAAGGAAUAAACAGGAAGAAGGAAAGUGAACUAGGACUAGUUUGACUUUUGGCUAGCAGUUAACAGGCUUCCAUGACUGGCCUGACAGGACACAACUAGCUAGAGUCCAUGUGCAGUGCAGGGAGCAAAACCCAUAACCAGUGAGUUAACCCCACACUCUUAGCACAUUUACUAUCUAAACAAAUCCAAAUAUAGUAAAGCAAAAAAGGAAGAGAAAAAAAAAUGAGUCAGCAAAUUCUUUUAUUGCUGAAUUUAGAUAUCUACCUACAAUUCUGUAAUGACCUAGGACACUUGAAUACUAAUAUUAACAUUUCUUAUUUGCAAAAUAUUUUACAACUAAGAAGGCUCUUGUGUUCAUAUUGGAUCUUAGAACUAAUUUUGUAAGAUAAUUCAGGUAGAUACACUAAAUGCUUUGCAAAUGAGAAAAUAAUAAAAUUAUUAUUUACCCAAGGUCAUAUGACUAAUAAAUAGCAAAACCUAGAGUAAGUGAUGUAUUUUUCUUUCUAGCCAGUAUUCUUCUGAUACACCAAACUACUCCUGGUGAACUAGGCAUCUGACUCUUCUGAAUUCCUCUUAGAUAUUAACUCCCUGGAGUGCAAAGACAAUGUCUUCUUUUUUUUAAAAGUUUUUGCAGUAUUGGUCCACAGAUAGAAGCCAAGCGGGAAUAUUAGUUAAUGAAGGUGUGGACUUGACAGUGUGGAAAGAGGCUUGGCAUCAGAUGGAUGGAGAGUGAAUCCUGAGUAAGUCACAUCUUGGCUGCAUGACCUAGGAUUCCUUAUUUGAUUUCUUAAUCUACUUGUCUCAUAGGUAAAAUACAGAUGAAAAUAUAUGUAUCAUAGUAUUUUCAUAUGACUUAAAAAGAAUAUGGGCUGGGGUUGUAGCUUUUGGUAGAGUACUUGCCUAGCAUGUGUGAGGCACUGGGUUUGAUCGUCAGCAUGGCAUAUAAUAUAAAUGAAUAAAAUAUAGGUCCAUCAAAAAUAAUAACAAAUGUUCCACAUAGUACCUGCUAGCCAGUAGAUGCCCACUAUCAAUUUAACUAUGUAGCUUAUGGCUUUCCUUCCUUUUUCCAGCUUAACCCCUUUUUUUCCUGUGGAGAUGUUUUUACUUGUGUGUUGGCUUUGUUUUAUAUGUUUUUCAUCUUAAUAAUUAGUCUGCCUUGGUUGGUACUCUAGGAUGGAGCAACCCAUUGUGCUUAGAGCAUCUUCAUAUCUGACUCUGUAAAUUUCGAGGAGCUGGAAGAAAGGGAAAUAUACAAUUUACCCGAAGCAGAUAUAUCGUGUUCCUCAUUUCUUGCUUCCUUUGGUCAGGUAGUUUAUUUAUAAAAAACUGAUCCAGGACUAUUAGGAGGAAAAUAUGACUUUGUGAAUAUGCUCAGAAGUCAAAUGUUGUCUUUGCCUGAACCAGUGUAUCCUUGGAAACUUGAAACAUGAAACUUAAAAAUUAAUUUUUAAUUUUGUUUGUGAUAUUUAUAAGUGAAGGUACAAAUGUUUUUUCAUGAAGUUCUCUGAAGCUAUUAGAUGUGGCAAAAUAGAUAUUGCCCAUUUUAUUUUAAGAUUUUGACUUAGUUUUGCAGCAUUUUCUUUUAUUUUUUAUCAAAAGUUGUAGACCUUAAUUUGCUUUUCAAUAUGAUGUUUCUAGAUUAAUAAGCCAGUUAUUACAAUAAAAUCUUAUUUCCUGAAGCAAUAUGUUUUUUAAACAGUUUUAUAUAAUAAAUGUAAGAUUCCUUCUUCCUGGAUAUCAUUUUGACUCCUGUUAGUACUUUUGCUGCCUUCCAUUAAUGGAAUGAUUUUACAUCAUUUAAGUACAUAUUUUGGGUAAUUUCUAUCAAGGCAAACACUGCUCUCUUCUGAGGACUUCUACCAAGGCCUGUAAGAAACUAAGGUGGGAAUUUUACUCUUAACCUGGCUAUGUUUUAAGUUUAGGAAGCCAAUUUUUCUGGCUGAAAUGAAGUCAUUUUCUUCUUUUUUUUAUAUAUAAAUAAGACUAAUUUAUUUACAGUUUCUACUGAAACUGCAGUCUUCCCCCUUCUGCCUAAAUGGCCCAGACCAUUUUAAUCCAUGGUUUGAGCUCCUCACAGAGCUCACUUGUUGUCAUUAAUACACUAUGCUAUGUGUAGUACUGUCCACCACUUUACACAUUCACACUAGGGAAGUUAGGUUGAAAAAUUAGAAUCUUUCUUACAGCUUUCAGACAGUAAGGAAGCACUAAGGAAGAACAUUUUAAAGACCCUUUUACACUCAUGUCUUCUUUCUUCUUCAGUGCUAGGAAAAUAUAUGGGAUAAUUUAGUCCAAUUUGUCUGGGAAUAAUUAUUUAUGAGGAGAUAUGUGCUCUGUAGAAGAAAGGUUUGACAAAGAAUAUAUAUUCUUUAGCUCAUUGGUGUUGGGAGCAUAUGUUAGUGAUCCUACCAUAAAAAGCAUAUGCUUAAAAAGUGGUUACUGUGUGAGGAUAGUAACUAUUCUUAUAUAGUAUUGUGUCAUGGGAACGGUUUCGUUUUACCUGGGAGGAAUGAAUGAAUUUAAACCAAUACACAAAUUCUGUAAUGAUUUUUUCUUCAGGAUAUGAUCUAGACCUACAAAUAUCUCUUCAUUAACUAUAGAAGUUUGGGAUUCCAUCACACUUAGAGGUAAUCUUCCAUAAAAUUCUGAAGCAGAUGGUAAAGGUGGGUGUUAAGUAAUUUAAAUGUGAAUUUAGAAACUAGAGAAAGAUAAAAAUAAAACCAAAGCACUUAGACACAGUCACAUCACCUGGUAGUAAUAUCAGUGUAUUUUGCUGCUGCUUUUAAGUUUUUUCCAUAGACUUGCCACAAUUUUUGCAUGACUAAAAAGGAAAAAUUAAGUAUGAACCUGGUUGAAUGUUUAAUAAAAAAUUAGCAAUGUCAUAUUGAUUUUGAUGACAUAGCCACUUUUUUUGUUUUUUAUCUUCAGACUUGGUACAUUCAAAAUAAGUUGAAUUGAAAGUAUUAAUUACCAUUUAGACACGAACUUCUGUUCAGAAACAAGCCCCAUGUCUAGCACAAAGUGUAUUGAAUUUCUCAUUGUGUACAAAUAUGUUCAUUCCUUUUUUUUCCAGUUCUAGGACAUUUUCCUCUAAAAGCAGCCAGUGUUUUAGCUUUUUCUUUUUCUUAUUUUAUUUAUUUUUUUGUUACAAGAUGCUGUGAUUUCUUUAAAGUUCAAGAAACUAUUUUUAUAUCUAGCCUAAUAUUCAACUUAAAUUGUUGUCCUUACCCACUGUUAAACCAAAUUAAUUUGUAAAGGAUGGAUUUUAGAAUAAAUAUGUUUAGCACUCUAUAACAAUACAGAUUACUGAAGUGCAUUUUCAAAUGUUAGAACAUAAUUUUAAUUUAAUCUUUUGCACAGAAUUUCUUUAGAAGCUGAGGUUUUAUGUUAAAGUUUUCUUUUCUUGGGAAAUUAGAGGUUCUCAGUAGACAAAGGUUAUUUGAAAAUUAAUUUCUAUGCAUAAAUGUGUAUGUUAUUUUAAAAAAUAGGUUACAUAUUGCUUCUUUUCAUCUGUUAAAUCUAGGUUACAUAAAAUGAUGAACUGUACCUAACAAUAUUGGUCUACCUUGCCCUCAGGGGAAAAAUAGGCCUCUACAUGUAACAUGUGAUACUAACAAGAUUAGAAUUUAAUGAAGUGCAAGAGAAUACCAAAAGUUUUGAUAUUUUACUUGCUUGUUUUUUGUUUGUUUGUUUUUGUUUUUUUAAUUUAAGGAAAUAAGCACUCUGUAUUCCUCACCCUAAUUGCCAACUGUGCCCUAGUUGGUUGAACAUCAAGGAUUUGUCACAUUUUUUUUUUCCUUAAGGAAAAGCAGGGCAUCACAAAUCAUCAGUGAAUCUCUUGCUGAGUAAUGGUGGUUUUUCAAUAUUAAUUUUUUUAAGCACAUUUUAUUUUUAGAAAUCAGUAUUUUUUAUUCCAAGAUCAUAUAUAUUGUGUGUAUACACAUCAUUAAUAUCAGACAUUUUCUCAUCUUUAUAAUUUGUUCCGGUAGUAUAAAUAAAAAUAAUAAUUUAGUUUUCUGAAAUAUAAUUACAAUCAUUAACUUAGAAUGUAGCAUGUUGAAAUAAAAGGAAGUUGUUUUUUAAAUUUAUUUCUUGUUGUAAUUUGUUAUAUAUUGACAGCCGAUUGCAUUACAAUUCAUAUUACACAUACAGAACACAUUUUUUCAUAUCUCUGGUUGUAUACAAAGUAUAUUCACACCAUUCAUGUCUUCAUACAUGUACUUAGGAUAAUGAUGUCUGUCUCAUUCCACCAUCUUUUCUACCCCCAUGUCCCCUCCCUUUCCCUCCCACCCAAAAAGGAAAUUUUGUAAGUUUAUCUCUUUACAAUAUUGAGACUGUUUGGGAGAGUUUAUAUUGAUUUUGUGAAAAAGGAAGUAGAUGAGUCAUCUAAAACUUGUAACUUUAUGAAAUUCAGAACUAUUCUUCACUGUGGAAUUGGAAA